UGGUUCAGAUUUAAUAUAAAUCCUAGUCUAGUCCCCUUGGGUUGCAAAGGAAUCUCUCUUUCAGUUCCUUGAAAUUUUUUGGUACAGGUGUAUUGAUGUUGUUGAACAUACAUCAAUAUCUUGUCAAAGUAUAAGUAUCUUUCUGAGUUUUGAUGCAAUGUCUCACCAGUGUUUUUCUCUCUUUCAUCUCUCUACUUAUUACACAGUAAUAGACUAUACUUCUUGUUUGGUGUAGAACAAAAAGCUUGAUAAUAGUUCGAUCAAAGUAUGUUUAUGUCAUUAGACCUUUGAUUGUAUAUAUAUAUGACUUGAGAGAAGAUCUUCUUGAUUGGAGCAGAUCUUUGAGAGAUAGGCAAUCCAAAAGAAUUGAUCCUUGAAAUGAACCUUAAUUGAUUCCUUUCAGAAAUAAGUUGGAACUUUCCUAUACUUGGACCCUGAAGUACGGCGUGAUAGAUGUUGCUUCCUCGAUCAGCGUAACUUGAUAUCUUUUGCAAAUCUUCCAUAUAAUGCGUCUGAUAUGAUUGCCCUUAACUUUCGUGAUUAAGAAUUGAGACUGGAUAUUGAUCUUCCUUGAUCCCUGUGAUUUGGAACUAAGAGCAGAAUUGAUUCUUCAAUCUUAGCCUUCCUUCUUUGGAUAGCUUCUGAAUCAUUAGUUGGCUCUUACUUCCUUCUUUGGAUAGCUUCCAGAUCCUUGAUUGCCUGCAAUAGAAAUAAGUUAUUGUUUACCAUUAAAACUCAGAUCUAACAUUAACAAGUAUGAGUUGGAAAUGGUUUAAAGGUCUUUUAAUUAUAUAUUAGGCUAUCAACUAGGUAAUUGGCUGUAGCAAGUAUGAUUUGAUAGCUUUAAGAAAUAGAAAAUAUCCCAUUAUAGUUGGUUACAACAUAGUAGUUAAAUAAAAUUUUAAUGGGAAAAGCAUAAAAAGAACCCCAAACUUAUUUCGGAUUACCAGAUACACAUUUAAACUUUGCGAGUGUCUUGUGACUCCCUUAUACUAUUUUGAACUAGAAUUAUUAACUCCCUAAGGAGUCGUUUGGUAUGAGGUAUAAGUACAAAUAGUGUUGGAAUAAAAAUUUAAUACCACCUUAAUAUUUUAUUUGGUUAGCAAACCUGAGAUAAGUUAUCUCGGGAUUAAAAUAAAUACCGGGAUAACUUAUACCUUGUAGGGUGUGGAGUAAUUAGUGUCGGGAUAGCUUAUACCUUCUUCUUAGAAAUUAUGUAAAUAUCAUUUUUAAUACAACAUACCAAACAGUGGAUAAAAAAUAAUCUCAGCAUAACUAAUCCCAGCAUAACUUAUCCUAGCAUAACCUAUAUUCAAACCAAACGACCCUUAAGUGUUGAGGCGGUAAAGAAAGUGUAAUCCGGGACAUUUUUGAUAGCGUUUUUAUGCUUUUUCCAGAUUUUACGUUCGCAAUGUCUAUAUAUCAAAUACAAUUUUGAAAACCAUGCCACUUGAUGGUGUACAUAACUUGUUUGUUUUCGAAAUGAAUCUGAUUUUUGCACCAAAUCUGCGCGAGUUCCCUGAAUUUAUAGCUACGGGACCUAUGAAUUUUCUAUUUUUCAGUUUUCUUAAUUCUGAGCUAGCACUAGGCAAAGAAACUUUCAUGAAAGACCCAUAGAAACCAAGAGAAUAGCAAAAGAUACACAAGAAUUGAAGAAGUAUACAAAAUUCAAUUUGAUAAUGAAAAAUCUGUGACAUAAGUCUAGAGGUCAAUAUGUGACAGUUCAUUCAUAGUAUUAUGAACUCAUGAGUAACUUCAUGGAUACUGUUAAGUGGUCCUAGCAUAAUUGAAAUUUUGCUAUUUUUUUUAUCAACAGUAUUAAAAGUUAUAUGAUUUAAAAAAAAGAUGUGGAUUUAAUUUUGUGGGCAUGGGAGGUUUCCAAAAUUGCAAAUUAAAAUUAAAGUUAUUCAUCAUGAAAGAAAAUCAGAUACUCCACUAAAAUGACAAUUUAAUUUUUAUCUUAUAAUGAUCUAUCGUUUUGAGUCAAUGACUAAACUAUUCUAUUUGCUUCCUUCGGAAAUCCCAUUUAUUUGGAGAAGAAAUCAAAAAAACAGUCAACAGAUUCUUAAAGUAUGAAAAAGACAAUAUUUAAGAAUUAAAUUGCCAUGAGAUGGCUUAAGAGUUAAGACUCGUGGGAAUUCACCUCUUGCUUGGUUUUUGUCCAAAAAUAAAUUAAAUGAAUAAAUCUUGUUGCGUGCAAUAUAAUUGUGUAAGAAUGACAUUAGAAAAUAGAGGAAAACUAAAUUAUAACACAAAUAUUUGUUGUUAUAGCGAAUCUACGGUAUCUUACGUGUUGAUUGUGUUAUCAUCUUCUCUGUCGUUGGUGUCUUUCACCGUUAGUUCUGGAUCAUCCGAUAAGUCGUCGUCUUCUUCUUGGAAUGAAAUGGUGUUUUUUGUCGUUGUGAUAGAAAUAUCUGUGGUUAAGGUGUUUUUGUGAUGGUGGUGUGGAGUGGUGAGGUUGUGUGAUAACACGGGUAUGCCCCAUCUAUGUCCGUGUAUUUCUUGU
rnacentral:lncRNA from 1 species